rnacentral:sRNA from 1 species
UAGGUAGCCAGGUCAGGGGUCAAGAGCGGAACACCCUCACUGGCCCGGGCCGGCGCGGGAGGGCUGUGUGAUGGCCUCGGAGCGCCCCGAGCCGGAGGUGGAAGAAGCUGGGCAGGUGUUCCUGUUAAUGAAAAAGGAUUAUCGAAUCUCCCGAAAUGUUCGCCUGGCUUGGUUCCUCAGUCAUCUGCACCAAACUGUGCAGGCCACACCCCAGGAGAUGCUGCUUCAGUCUGAACAGGAAUUGGAAGUCCUCAGUGUCCUGCCCCCUGGGUGGCAGCCAGAUGAACCAGUGGUCCCAAGGCCAUUCCUCCUUGUACCUUCCACCCGGGUCACCUUCCUGGCUUGGCAGUAUCGGUUUGUCAUUGAGCUGGACCUUAGCCCAUCUACUGGCAUUGUGGUAAAGGAUUGAAGGGAGACUGUGGGAAGAAAGGAUGGGGUGGGGUGUGAGGAGAGGGAGAGGCCUGCGGGGAAGUGAAAAAUGGUCCCAGCCUGCCAUUUUGGAGAGAAGACAGGCUUAUAAAGGAAUGUUGGGUGUUUAAAAACAGAACUGGGCCAGCUGUGGUGGCUCAUGCCUGCAAUCCCAGUGCUUUGGGAAGCCGAGGCGGGCUGAUUGCUCGAGCUCAGGAGUUCAAGACUAGCCUGGGCCACAUGGCAAAACUCCCUCUCUAUAAAAAAUACAAAUAUUAGCCAGGCAUGCUGGCAUGCACCUGUCCUAGCUACUCGGGAAGCUGAGGUGGGAGGAUUGCUUGAGCCCAGGAGGUCGAGGCUACAGUGAGCCGGGAUCAGGGCCACUGUGCUGUAGCGUGGGCAACAAAGCAAGACCCUGGUUUUGUUGUUUUUGGUUCCAAAAAACACCCAAGAAACUGUUCCAUGUGUGGCACUGUAUUUGGGUGUGUGAUCAGCCAUAAGUUAAGUGUCCUACUGACCCAUGGAAGCUGCAUGUUUCUGCCCUCUGGUUAGGGCUGCCUUUGGACCCCCUUGAGUGCUCUUUCUCUGCCCUCAGGAUGAUUCCACAGGGGAGAUCUUGUUUGAUGAAGUUUUCCAUGCCCUGUCCCGCUGCCUAGGCGGGCUGCUUCGGCCCUUCCGAGUGCCUGGAUCUUGCAUCGACUUCCAGCCUGAGAUCUACGUAACUAUCCAGGCCUACUCCUCCAUCAUUGGACUGCAGUCCCACCAGGUAUUGCAUCAUCUCUCCAAGUUUGUACCCUCAGACCAAAUUUCUGUUAGUCCUCUGACCAAGUCCUUAUCCUGUCUCUGCUGUUUGUCCCCAAAGUCCCGAGCUCUGCUGGCUUCUUGAACCUGUUUUCUAGUCAUCCUCAUGAGUCUCUCUCCCCUUGAGAAGAACCAGUUCCUCUGGACUUAAAGGGCUUUCCUAUAGACUUCGGGUCAGUUGGUGUUGAUUGGACAACUGCCUUUUUCACCGCUCUUGUAAAUCUCUUUGGUUCUGACCACUGGAUGUCUGUUUUCUCCGUUCCCCUCUUCUCCUUUAGUUCUAUUGGAUGGUUUGCUGAUGUGCUGGCUCUGGCUAGUACCCUCACGAGAUGGUCUUUUGGAAUAGUUUUGUGAUUUUGAAAGACAGCAAAUAACCCAGAAAUAUAAUUGGUUUCAAGGAUAGUGGAGGGUCAUUUUUCGUUGUUAUUUUUUUUGAGACGGAGUUUCGCUCUUUUCGCCCAGGCUGGAGUGCAAUGGCACAAUCUCGGCUCACUGCAACCUCCGCCUCCUGAGUUCAAGCGAUUCUCCUGCCUCAGCCUCCCGAGUAGCUGGGAUUAUAGGCGCUUACCACCAGGCCCAGUUUAUUUAUUUAUUUAUUUAUGUUAGUAGAGACAGGGUUUCGUCGUGUUGGCCAGGCUGGUCUUGAACUCUCGACCUCAGGUGAUCUGCCCGCCUCGGCCUCCCAAAGUGCUAGGAUUACAGGUGUGAGCCACUGUGCCCAGCAUGGGUCAUUUUUUUUUGAGGGCCGUGUGAACUGUUGAGUAUAAUGCUGACCACACAGAUAAUUACAGGGCUUAUCCAGCACUCAAGGAGGCUAUCACAAGACACUCCUUUUGGAGAAUGGCCAAGUCUGUUACUGGAAUAUCUGUUUUUGACUUAGAUAAGCACUGACCCAGUUUCCCCUCAUCUGCUUUUAACUACCCUUAACUCAUUGGUAAAGGCUUUCCCUGAAACUGUCCCUGAUGGCUGCAUUGUCACCUAAGCUAGCAAACUGGAUUUGAGAGAUAAAAUAUUGGGAACAUGAUCUAAGGGUCUGAAACAUACAGCAACAAAAUUGGUGCAUACCUGGAUCCCAGGGCAGGGAUUGCCAGCCCUCUGCCCUAGUUUAAAGUGCUUUCCUAGUAUAGCCGUCAGGACUAUCAGUUGUGGGCUGCAUCCCCACAUAGGGGUCAGGUUUUGCAGGCACUGAUAGCCAAGGCAGGGAGAGCAUGGAUGUUAGGUAAUCACUCAAAACUUGGUUCAGGUUGGCAAACACUUAAUGAAGCCUGAUCUAUACCAGGCCUGAGCAGGUCCCGAAGACACAGUUGAAUCAGACCUUGUGUUUCUCCUGAUGGGAAGAGUUGAGAUUUUAAUGGGGGGAGAUA